rnacentral:rRNA from 1 species
UACGGAGGGUGCAAGCGUUAAUCGGAAUUACUGGGCGUAAAGCGCACGCAGGUGGCUGAGUCAGUCGAUUGUGAAAGCCCUGGGCUUAACCUGGGAAUUGCAGUCGAUACUACUCAGCUAGAGUAUGGGAGAGGGUAGUGGAAUUCCCGGUGUAGCGGUGAAAUGCGUAGAUAUCGGGAGGAACAUCAGUGGCGAAGGCGGCUACCUGGCCCAAUACUGACGCUCAUGUGCGAAAGCGUGGGAGCAAACAGGG